UUCCCCUCUUGGCAGAGCAUUCCUAUGACAACUGCGCCUUCGCCGUGAACGUGCCCCCGGGAGCUCGUGGUGUCCCCGGUCCGUCCCCGGUGUCCCCCCACAGAGACCCCCGGGCGGCCCCCCCCUCCUUCAGCACCUUCAGGUCGUAACGGGGGGCCCCCGUUACCGGGAAGAACCAGGAGCCACCGGCAGCACCGGGACGGAGGGGGGAGAGUCACGGUCGGCGAGACACCGGGGGGCUGCCCAGUGAGACCCCCGGCACCCGAAAGGUGCACACUGGCAGACCUUCCUCUUCCUCCUCCUCCUCCUCAUCCUCAUCCUCCCCGCUUUCCGUGAUGCUCCGGAGCCGGCUCUGGUGUCAAUAAAGGUGUUUUCCGCCCGGUGCCGGUGCGGGAUGUGGGUGCCCUGUGUCCCCCCCGGUACCGGGACCCGGUA